CGCUAUCGCAGGUCCUGGACGGGGCAUCUUAAUCGACGGGUGGAAUGCCUUGAGGAGAAAGUCUCCGAAUAUGAACACACUCGUUAGCCUGGGUGCAUGUGCCUCGUUUGGAGUCAGUACAGCAGCUGUGCUGUUGCCGCACUUGGGCUGGAGGAGUUUCUUCGAGGAGCCCGUCAUGCUGUUGGCGUUUGUUUUGCUUGGAAAGUCAAUCGAAGAGAGAGCCAAACUCCAGGCAUCCAGUGACCUCACGGAGCUAA
rnacentral:RNase_MRP_RNA from 1 species